AUUUGGGUCCUUGGUACAGCAUCUUGAGUGCUGGUGUCAUACUGGCUCAGUUCAAAGGUCAGCUCUACUUCUUACUCCCUGGGUAAGUUUCUUACCCUGUCUGUGCUUUCAUUUCUUCAAUGAUAAAAGGGAACAAUAACAGUAUAAGCCCAGGAUGUGAGGAUUAAUGAAAUGACACAUCAAAAUUAGUUAGCACAGGGCCUGGUACACAGUAUAAGCUAAGUAAUUAUAUGUAUUAUUUAUGAUUAACAUUUGGUGAUAAAAAAGAAACUAAGCUGACAGAGAAGACAAUAGCUCUUAUAAUCUGAUUCUUAAUGAUUCAAGUACCUAGAUGAUGUUCAGGAAAUGUUUGUAAAUAGAGUCAUGAAUUCAAGCUCUAGAAUAUGUGCUGAGAAGGUGUGGUGCCUGGGAGUGGUGCUACCUCUCUGCCUGCUCAAGCAUCAGUGUUGGUACCAAUGGAGCCAGCUGGGUUUCAGGGGCUUACAGCAUAUGGAUGGAACAUAUCAGAAGUGGAACUGAUAUAUCUGUACAUUUAGGAAACACUACCUGAGUCCCACCAUGAUGCCAGGGAUUUGGCUAGGUGAUGGGGAGGCAGUGAUGGUGGGUCACAUCCAUUAGUCCCUAAGAUGCCAUUUUCAGACACUGCCUUGUCAUGCUAUAUGUACAAUCUAGCCACUUAACUGAUGAAAGAACAGUUCAAUGUCAUUCCUCACUGCUGCUAUUCUCUCUUCUCAAGAGAAAUAUAAUUGUUGUCCUUUCCAGAUAUAUAGCAAACUUCCUCUAAAAGUCAUUUCUCAUGACAAUUACAACUGUAAUACAUGUAAACCUCUCUACACAACCAGCGUGCCAAUCUAAUACUUUAAAUCCUGGCACUUAUUAGGUCCUAAACUUUAAGUUUCUUGCCACUUUAGGAUGACAAAACUGCCAUAAAACAUAUAUUUUUUUCAUACUGAAAAUAUUAUGUUAAUAAUAAUAUGUGUUCUACAUUUAGGCCAGAAUUCUUAAAAUCAUUCUAUUGCUUAUCAAAUAAAAUGACAUGAUACUAUACAUAGAAAAUCCUAAAGACUCCACAUGAAAACCACCAGAACUGAUAAAUGAAUUCAGCAAGAUAGAAGAUUAACAUACAGAAAUCGGUUGCCAAGUGCACUUCUUUACACUUACAGUGAAAUAUCAGAAAGAGAAUGUAAACAAAUAAUCCCUCUAAAAUCACAUUAAAAAAAAAAAAAAAGGCAUCUUAGAAAUUAACCUUACCAAGGAGGUGAAAGACAUAUGCCGAGAACUACAAAACAUUUUUAAUAAAGGAAAUUGAAGCUGGUCAAAGAAACAGAAAAAUAACCCAUGCUCCUGAAUUAGAAGAAUUAAUAUUGUUAAAACAGUCAUACUACCCAAAGCAACCUACAGAUUUAAUGCAAUUCCUAUCAAGUUACCCAUGACAUUUCUCACAUAACUAGAACUAAUAAUCCUAAAAUUUAUGUGGAACCAUAAAAGCCCCAGAACUGCUAAAGCAAGCCUCAGUAAACAGAACAAAGCAGGAGGCUUAACCCUCCCAAACUUCAUACAAUACUACAAAGCUACAUCAAUCAAAGUGGCAUAUCAAACACAGACACUUAUGGCAACAAAUAUUAUAAGUAGCUCAUUCUUUUUUUUAAUAUAUUUAAAUUUAUUUUUGGUUUUUGGCUGCACCUGCAGCAUGCAGAAGUUCCCGGGCCAGGGAAUCAAACCCACACCAUGGCAGUGACAAUGCCACAUCCUUAACGUACUGAGUCACCAGGGAACUCCCACAGCUCAUUCCUAUAAUAUAAAAAUAUCUAGAACUUUUUAUUUACAAGUGAAAAAAGGGCAAAAAUAGCAGGUGAUUGGUAUACAUUCUCAGGAUUUUUCUCAUACAAAAUAUUUAAUGGAUAACAGAUAACCUAGUAAAUACUGUGCUUAAGAUUUAAAGUAAUCCAUAUUACAAAGUUACAUUUCUUGAGAUGUAAUAAUUAAAGAAUUCUGAAAUCUAGUAUCUGCCUAACCAAGCUUGGGCACAUGAACUCCUUACAAAGUUUUUCCAUAGAAUGAAAAUUUGCCAUUUUACAUAUACACCAGAAAUUGACUUAAAAAUAAGGAACAUUUUAGAAACACAAGGCCUCAAAAUAUUUCAGAAUCUAACAAUGUCUGUUAUUAUUAUUAUUUUCUCCAUUCUCCUUUGUUACUGAUCAGCAAUUUUAACUUCGUCAGCAUUCCAGACAGGACAAAUUCAAAGAAUUAUGGCAAUUCCUCAAUUGCUAUUUUAAUGUCAGACAGAAGCAGGCAAUGAUCUUUACUGAUAAGUUACUUCAGGUCCAGAGAGAUAUGAAGCAACCUAAUCAAGCUUGUCCUUUCUAAAGGCAGAUACGGAACAGGACUCAAGUCUUCCAAAUACCCAAAGACACAAAUAUUAGUAAUAGUAUGAAAAUUACUAAGUAUUAAUAGUCUGAGGAUGACAUUAAAUUUCUUAAACCUUUCACAACACGUUGAGCAAACAGGAAAUACCAUCCGGAAGACAUUACAGAAGUUUCAUAGUAGAUCCUCUGAUAUUUUGCUAGCCAGCUUUAUUGCCCAUGUGCCAUCCUAGCAUUUCAGUGAGACAGGAGAGAACAGUGCCACUGGAGGUUUAUUCAAAGGGACAACCUCGGCUCAGAGGCCUAGACUUUAAAAUUAAUAGUAGCUAGCAUACCUACCUUUAUUUAAACCACAUUAGACCACCAGAAAUCAUAACUUGCGGAGUAAUAAACUCAUGAGCUUUUACUUUAUGUUAUUUUCCUGUUACUCCACCUCUCCUAAAAUGAUCACAUUAAAAGUUAUUUUUGAACUGCUCUGCCGUGAGUGGCUCUAGGAAAACACAUGUUUAGCGUUCCACAGCGGUAUGAAUGAUAAGAAAUACCUUCCCAGCAGGAAAAUAAAAGGUGGACUGGGCAAGGUUUUCAGGGACAGUCCCCUCAUCCUCCUGGAUAUAAUGACAUCCAGUUAGUUUGCUUCACGCUAGAAAAGAGCAGUCUGGAUAUUCAUUCCAAGCCAAAUUACAAAACUUGUGCCCGGGGUCCAAAUCUUUCUUUUAUCUUAUUUUAAAAUGAAAAGGCAAUAAUUCGGAGGAAAAAUUAUUUGUGAAGAGGAGGAACAGUUGUCUGGAAGUUUUCAAGGAAGGAAGUACUCUAAGAUGCAUCAGACUGAAAUCACUAUCAAAUUCUCACACGACUUGAAUUCACCCUACAGCGCCCUGAAAGGCCCCCAGAAAUUCCUUCAGCGUCGGUGAGACUGGGGUUCCCGGACCUGCUUAACAGGCCAGGGUGCGGGCCAGUUCCCCGUUUGACCUUGUAGCAAUUUUCUGGGCAGGAAAUCAGUCAAAUCUGGUGAAAAGGAACGCGGGGAAGGCGAGCCCUAGCUCCAACCCCCCGCGGAGCUCGGUCAAGUACAGGGAUGAGGGAUCCUCACAGCGGAGUCCGAGGGCCCACCGCCCUCGGGAGCCAAGCGGGGAGCGCGCGUUCACAGCGCCAGCACCGAGAGCUGGGUCGGGCCUCGGACCCGACGGGCCGAGCUCCUGGUCGGACGAUAGCCCCUCGUUUCCCGGUGUAGCUCCCGGUAUCCCGGGGCUGGCGGGCGCCGCUUACCUCGACGGCUGUGCACGGCGGCGCGGGGACUUGGUGGGGUCUCGGCGGGGACUUGCGGGCGCGGCGGGGAGCGGCCGGCGUCGGGGCGGCGGCCGGGAAGGCGACGCUGUGCACUCUGUAGCGCCCGGGCUC
rnacentral:lncRNA from 1 species